CUGUCCGGAAGGCCCAAGUGUGCAGAGGGGCGGGUCUCACCUCGGACCAAUCCGAGCCUGGGCGGUGCCGCAAGGUCCAAUCCCUGCAGGAAUAAGGGGAGGAACCUAGGCGCCUUAGGACCCGGGGCCGCGACUGGUGCGGGAGGCAGCUAAUCAGGGCGGUACUUGCAGACCGGGUUGAAGUCCAGGGCCCAGGAACGCUAGGGAAACCGAAAGCAGGCUAUGGGUUGGGCCUGCGGUGGGGCGGGGCUGGGGGUGUGGCCGCGCCCUGAACAAGGAGCAAGGCCAGUACAUAAAGGUUCCUGGGAGCCAAAGGAGCAAGUCAGGGAAGUAGCUUUGGUUGGGUUUCGUGGUAUACAAAGCACAAGGCCUGGGUUGGGUUCGGAGGAAAUGAGGCUUGCGGCGGGGCGGGACUGAAGGUAUGGCAGCGCCCUGAACCUGGAGCAAGGCUGGUACAUAAACGCCUACGUCACAAUCUGGAGUCAGCUGGAGUGUCCCAUCAGGAUGUCUUGACUUCCUUAGAUGCAAGUCAGGCCUUCAUCUUUUCUCACCUGGACAAACCUGCCUUGCUGUCCUGCCUCCAGUCUCACCCUCUUCAAACCUCUCCACCUGGUGCCAUGAUACAGCUAAAGAUCAUGUUCAUCAAUAACUUUGCAGUGGCUACCCCUAACUACAGGACACAGCAGAGCAAACAUGGCAGCAUAUAUGUGAGCUUUGCCUUCUGUAUUGGUGAUGUAUUGCUGAAACAUAUUGUAAAAUGUAUUAACACCGUCACAAGAAACAUUCAUUAUUUCACAGUGUCUGUAGGUCAGGAAUUAAAAGGGGGUGGUUCUAGCUCAGGGUUUCUCAUAAGGUUUUAGUCCAGAUGUCAGCCAGAUCUGUAGUCAAAUGUAGGCUUGACUAGGGCUGGAGAAUAUGCUCCCAUAGCUCACUGACAGCUGGCAAGGUGGUAUUGGCUGUUGGCAAAAUGCCCCAAUUUUUUAUCCCAGAGAUCUCUCCAUAGGGUUGCGUACAUGUUCUUACAAUAUAGUAGCUGGCUUCGUCCAGUGUGGGUGAUACAGAUGAAAUCCGUGUGUUUUGUGACCUAGUCUCAGAAGUCACACACCAUCACUUCUACAUUAUUCUGUUGGUCACACAGGCCGCCCCUGAGGCAGUGUGGGAAGGAUCUACACAGGACGUGACUAUACCAGAAGUGAGGAUCAUUGGAAGUCAUGUUGGAGGCUGGUCACCAUCCCCUUCGCUCUAAACCUAACAUUAUCACUCUCAUAUUUCAUGUUCCACCAGCACCAAAGGAUUUCAGAUUCCCAGGAUCUAUAGGGCCAUGUCUUCCAUCUUUGUGUUCCUCAUGCCUGCAAGAUCUUUUCCUCCCUUCUAUUUGCCUGGUGAAUUCUUAUCAUUCAAAACUAUGUGCCUAUACUUAGUGCCUGGUACAGAAUGGGAGCUCAGUACACAUUAAGCUGAAAUCCAAAGAACAGAAUUAGAAGAUACAGUCCAGGUAGGCUCCAUGCUGUCAUCCCACAUUACCUUGAAAUAUGCUGAAGGUCGGGAAAGUCAGAGUUUGUGACUCACCUGCGCCAUUUUGAAAAAGGGUAUCCGUAUUUUUUCUAAGAAGCCACAGAAUAAUUUAGUUGGAGACAAACUUCCUCCAGAUUUAUAAAAAUCAAUGCCAAAAAUAAAUAAAUAAAUAAAAGCCCA
rnacentral:lncRNA from 1 species